GUCCUGAAUCACUUCCCCUUUGACCGGAUGUCGGCAUUCCAGUUUCCGGUCUAAUCCCCGGUCUCGGUGAAAAUGGCGUUUUCUAGAUGUUUACAAGAGCUGCCCAAGAUAAAUAUCAGCGAUGUUCAUCGUAUUGUUGAUGGCUGGUCCCCUGCUCCGACAAGCAAACGUAACAAGGGAUUUAAAUUGUAUAUCUCAAGUUACCUGCACAACUACGAGGGUGGUCCUGAAAGACUCGUGUCCUGUGGAGCUGAUUCACCACAGCUGUACGUGUGUUGCUGGUGCAGCAUUAUGCAACCACUGUGUGGCUUUGCUGUUCCAGUCAGCACAUUAUUCUGAGCUGAAACUGUCAGUGGUCCCCCCUGUACUAAGCUGUCCAGAAGGAGAACAGCAGUGGCACAAGCCCAGAACUUUAGGUAUAAAACCUGGCCCCGUGGACAAGAUGACUGUGCUGUCUGCUAAACCGAAGAGUGGAGCAACAACAGAGGGUGUAAGGU